rnacentral:misc_RNA from 1 species
GAUGAAGAACGUAGCGAAAUGCGAUAAGUAAUGUGAAUUGCAGAAUUCAGUGAAUCAUCGAAUCUUUGAACGCACAUUGCGCCCGCCAGAAUUCUGGCGGGCAUGCCUGUUCGAGCGUCAUUUCAACCCUCGAGCUCCCCUUGGGGAGCCCGGCGUUGGGGACCGGCAGUACCACCGCCGGCCCCGAAAUGGAGUGGCGGCCCCGCCCGCGGCGACCUCUGCGUAGUAAAUCCACUCGCACCGGGACCCGGGCGCGGCCACGCCGUAAAACACCCAACUUCCGAAUGUUGACCUCGAAUCAGGUAGGAAUACCCGCUGAACUUAAGCAUAUCAAUAAGCGGAGGA